AUACGUAGGGUGCAAGCGUUAAUCGGAAUUACUGGGCGUAAAGCGUGCGCAGGCGGUUUUGGAAGACAGUGGUGAAAUCCCCGGGCUCAACCUGGGAACCGCCAUUGUGACUGCAAGGCUGGAGUGCGGCAGAGGGGGAUGGAAUUCCGCGUGUAGCAGUGAAAUGCGUAGAUAUGCGGAGGAACACCGAUGGCGAAGGCAAUCCCCUGGGCCUGCACUGACGCUCAUGCACGAAAGCGUGGGGAGCAAACAGGAUUAGAUACCCUGGUAGUCCACGCCCUAAACGAUGUCAACUGGUUGUUGGGGAUUUAUUUUCUCAGUGACGAAGCGAACGCGUGAAGGUGACCGCCUGGGGAGUACGGCCGCAAGGUUAAAACUCAAAUGAAUUGACGGGG
rnacentral:rRNA from 1 species